rnacentral:rRNA from 1 species
CAACCUGCCACCGUGUGGGGCAUAGCCGGCCUAACGGCCGGGUAAUUCCGCAUACGAUCGCUGAGAGUCAUCUCUCGGUGAUGAAACGAUUUAUCGGCACGGUGAGGGGCUCGCGGCCUAUCAGCUAGUUGGUGAGGGUAACGGCCCACCAAGGCAACGACGGGUAGCUGGUCUGAGAGGAUGGCCAGCCACAUUGGGACUGAGAUACGGCCCAG